rnacentral:rRNA from 1 species
AAUAUUGGACAAUGGGGGCAACCCUGAUCCAGCCAUGCCGCGUGAGUGAUGAAGGNCUNNGGGUUNUNAAGCUCUUUCAGUGGNNNNNAUAAUGACGGUACCCACAGAAGAAGACCCGGCUAACUUCGUGCCAGCAGCCGCGGUAAUACGAAGGGGGCUAGCGUUGUUCGGAUUUACUGGGCGUAAAGCGCACGUAGGCGGAUUGGUCAGUUAGGGGUGAAAUCCCGGGGCUCAACUCCGGAACUGCCUUUAAUACUGCCAGUCUAGAGACCGAGAGAGGUGAAUGGAACUCCUAGUGUAGAGGUGGAAUUCGUAGAUAUUAGGAAGAACACCAGUGGCGGAGGCGGCUCACUGGCUCGGUACUGACGCUGAGGUGCGAAAGCGUGGGGAGCAAAC